GAUGAACGCUGGCGGCGUGCCUAACACAUGCAAGUCGAACGGAGUCGUUUUGGAAAUCUCUUCGGAGAUGGAAUUCUCGACUUAGUGGCGGACGGGUGAGUAACGCGUGAGCAAUCUGCCUUUAAGAGGGGGAUAACAGUCGGAAACGGCUGCUAAUACCGCAUAAAGCAUUAAAUUCGCAUGUUUUUGAUGCCAAAGGAGCAAUCCGCUUUUAGAUGAGCUCGCGUCUGAUUAGCUAGUUGGCGGGGUAACGGCCCACCAAGGCGACGAUCAGUAGCCGGACUGAGAGGUUGAACGGCCACAUUGGGACUGAGAGACGGCCCAGACUCCUACGGGAGGCAGCAGUGGGGAAUAUUGCGCAAUGGGGGAAACCCUGACGCAGCAACGCCGCGUGAUUGAAGAAGGCCUUCGGGUUGUAAAGAUCUUUAAUCAGGGACGAAACAAAUGACGGUACCUGAAGAAUAAGCUCCGGCUAACUACGUG
rnacentral:rRNA from 1 species